rnacentral:lncRNA from 1 species
GGAUUCCUGACGAGAUUUCCCGACUUCUUGAGCAAGGAAAGAAGAUCACUCAGCUGCAUCUCGAGAAUCAGCAAAACAGUCCAACUGGGGCAUUAUAAAUGUAAUAAAAAAAACAACAAAAAAAAGAGGAAAAAGAAAGAGGAGGGUGCAAAAUAAAAAAAAAUCAAAAGAAAUCAAAAGAAAAGAAAAAAGAAAGAAAGAAACAAAAGAGAAAUAGCACCCUCAAAGUCCCAAGUUGACUGAUGCUGAAUGGAUUCAGAGUCGUUACGACCAAGUGAAUCUGAUCGAAAAGAAGAGAUUAACUGCC